GAUGAACGCUGGCGGCGUGCUUAAUACAUGCAAGUCGAGCGGACGGGCGCGAAGCUUGCUUCUCUGAUGUUAGGGGCGGCCGAGUGGGUAACACGAGGAUAGUCUCCCUCUAAGACUGGGAUAACUUCGGGAAACCGGUGCUAAUACCGGAUAAUAUUUUGAACCGCAUGGUUCAAAAGUGAGAGACGGUCUUGCUGUCGCUUAUAGAUGGAUCCGCGCUGCAUUAGCUAGUUGGUAGGGUAACGGCUUACCAAGGCAACGAUGCAUAGCCGGCCUGAGAGGGGGAUCGACCACACUGGUACUGCUGCACCGCCCCGACGCCUACGAGAGGCAGCAGUAGGGAAGCUUCCGCAACGGGCGGAGGCCUGACGGUGCAACGCCGCGUGGGUGAUGAAGGUCUUCGUAGCGUAAAACUCUGCUAUUAGGGGUGAACAUGUGUGUAAUUAACUGUGCACAGCUUGACGGUACCUAAUCAGAAAGCCCCGGCUAACUACGUG
rnacentral:rRNA from 1 species